rnacentral:rRNA from 1 species
GACGAACGCUGGCGGCGUGCUUAACACAUGCAAGUCGAACGGAAAGGCCCUGCUUUUGUGGGGUGCUCGAGUGGCGAACGGGUGAGUAACACGUGAGUAACCUGCCCUUGACUUUGGGAUAACUUCAGGAAACUGGGGCUAAUACCGGAUAGGAGCUCCUGCUGCAUGGUGGGGUUGGAAAGUUUCGGCGGUUGGGGAUGGACUCGCGGCUUAUCAGCUUGUUGGUGGGGUAGUGGCUUACCAAGGCUUUGACGGGUAGCCGGCCUGAGAGGGUGACCGGCCACAUUGGGACUGAGAUACGGCCCAGACUCCUACGGGAGGCAGCAGUGGGGAAUAUUGCACAAUGGGCGGAAGCCUGAUGCAGCAACGCCGCGUGCGGGAAGACGGCCUUCGGGUUGUAAACCGCUUUCGCCUGUGACGAAGCGUGAGUGACGGUAAUGGGUAAAGAAGCACCGGCUAACUACGUG